AGCGAACGCUGGCGGCGUACUUAACACAUGCAAGUCGAACGGGGAUCGUCAGUGUAGCAAUACAUCGGCGGUUCUAGUGGCGCACGGGUGAGUAACACGUGGGUAACCUGCCCUUGAGUUCGGGAUACCCUUUCGAAAGGAAGGCUAAUACCGGAUACGUUCCUCGGAUUGCCAAAUCUGGGGAGGAAAGGUGGCGCAAGCUGCCGCUCUUGGAGGGGCUCGCGGCCUAUCAGCUAGUGGUGAGGUAACGGCUCACCAAGGCUAUGACGGGUAGCUGGUCUGAGAGGACGACCAGCCACACGGGAACUGAGACACGGUCCCGACUCCUACGGGAGGCAGCAGUGGGGAAUUUUCCGCAAUGGGCGAAAGCCUGACGGAGUGACGCCGCGUGGGGACGAAGGCC
rnacentral:rRNA from 1 species